ACGGGUGAGUAAUGCUUAGGAAUCUGCCUAUUAGUGGGGGACAACAUUCCGAAAGGAAUGCUAAUACCGCAUACGCCCUACGGGGGAAAGCAGGGGAUCUUCGGACCUUGCGCUAAUAGAUGAGCCUAAGUCAGAUUAGCUAGUUGGUGGGGUAAAGGCCUACCAAGGCGACGAUCUGUAGCGGGUCUGAGAGGAUGAUCCGCCACACUGGGACUGAGACACGGCCCAGACUCCUACGGGAGGCAGCAGUGGGGAAUAUUGGACAAUGGGCGAAAGCCUGAUCCAGCCAUGCCGCGUGUGUGAAGAAGGCCUUUUGGUUGUAAAGCACUUUAAGCGAGGAGGAGGCUACUUGGAUUAAUACUCUAGGAUAGUGGACGUUACUCGCAGAAUAAGCACCGGCUAACUCUGUGCCAGCAGCCGCGGUAAUACAGAGGGUGCGAGCGUUAAUCGGAUUUACUGGGCGUAAAGCGUGCGUAGGCGGCUUCUUAAGUCGGAUGUGAAAUCCCUGAGCUUAACUUAGGAAUUGCAUUCGAUACUGGGAAGCUAGAGUAUGGGAGAGGAUGGUAGAAUUCCAGGUGUAGCGGUGA
rnacentral:rRNA from 1 species